AUAGCAAGUGAUUUCUCUCUCUUUCCACACCAGAUUGGCUGCUACAGCCCUGGAUUCACAGUUCAGGACUGGGGAAGGUUCAGCUGCACAGAAUGUCCUUGAAAGGCUGCCCCAGACCCCCUUGAUGAGGCAUGUGAUUCAUCUCCAGAUUUCUUUCUUGACAUACCUCGGGCAAGGUUCUUGCAGAACACAGAGAUGGAUGCUCACAGCCUGCCAGUCCAGCUUUAUUUUGAAAGGUAAAGCUCUUCCAAACCUGUCUUCUUUAAGAGUAUACAGUCCAUUGCAUGAAAUGCUUUGAGAUACUGCAUUCCGUUCUGAGUGCUUAAAAGCCCUCAAGUGGAAAACUCAGAUCAGUCUCCAAGAAACAGCCAUGUGUUGAUAGCCAGCUUCUCUGUGCAAUUUCUAUCUGUUCCUUACUGCUAGAGCAGCAUGAUGUCAGUGCUAGAAAAAGCAAGCUUCAUGCCUUUGCUGCUUUUUCAGUUUCUGUUUGGAGCAUUGGUGUGGUGUUCAUCAAAGGCUCAUGGGAAAUAUAAUGUCUGGUGUUGCUACUCAGAGUAGAAGAGCAACACUUGAUGAGAACAUGGAAGUCUCCUUGUAAAUGCUAUACAUUGCAUUGCUGGGUUAGUGUAAAGCUACAGAAAUA
ensembl:lincRNA